GAUGAACGCUGGCGGCGUGCCUAAUACAUGCAAGUCGAGCGAACAGACGAGGAGCUUGCUCCUCUGACGUUAGCGGCGGACGGGUGAGUAACACGUGGAUAACCUACCUAUAAGACUGGGAUAACUUCGGGAAACCGGAGCUAAUACCGGAUAAUAUAUUGAACCGAAUGGUUCACUAUUGAAGGACGGUUUUGCUGUCACUUAUAGAUGGAUCAGCGCCGCAUUAGCGAGUUGGUAAGGUAACGGCUUACCAAGGCAACGAUGCGUAGCCGACCUGAGAGGGUGAUCGGCCACACGGGAACUGAGACACGGUCCAGACUCCUACGGGAGGCAGCAGUAGGGAAUCUUCCGCAAUGGGCGAAAGCCUGACGGAGCAACGCCGCGUGAGUGAUGAAGGUCUUCGGAUCGUAAAACUCUGUUAUUAGGGAAGAACAAAUGUGUAAGUAACUAUGCACGUCUUGACGGUACCUAAUCAGAAAGCCACGGCUAACUACGUGCCAGCCGCCGCGGUAA
rnacentral:rRNA from 1 species